rnacentral:rRNA from 2 species
GACGAACGCUGGCGGCGUGCCUAAUACAUGCAAGUCGAACGAAGCUUUCUUUCACCGAAUGCUUGCAUUCACCGAAAGAAGCUUAGUGGCGAACGGGUGAGUAACACGUAGGCAACCUGCCCAAAAGAGGGGGAUAACACUUGGAAACAGGUGCUAAUACCGCAUAACCAUGAACACCGCAGGAUGUUCAUGUAAAAGACGGCUUUUGCUGUCACUUUUGGAUGGGCCUGCGGCGUAUUAACUUGUUGGUGGGGUAACGGCCUACCAAGGUGAUGAUACGUAGCCGAACUGAGAGGUUGAUCGGCCACAUUGGGACUGAGACACGGCCCAAACUCCUACGGGAGGCAGCAGUAGGGAAUCUUCCACAAUGGACGAAAGUCUGAUGGAGCAACGCCGCGUGAAUGAAGAAGGCCUUCGGGUCGUAAAAUUCUGUUGUCAGAGAAGAACGUACGUGAGAGUAACUGUUCACGUAUUGACGGUAUCUGACCAGAAAGCCACGGCUAACUACGUGCCAGCAGCCGCGGUAAUACGCAGGUGGCAAGCGUUGUCCGGAUUUAUUGGGCGUAAAGGGAACGCAGGCGGUCUUUUAAGUCUGAUGUGAAAGCCUUCGGCUUAACCGAAGUAGUGCAUUGGAAACUGGAAGACUUGAGUGCAGAAGAGGAGAGUGGAACUCCAUGUGUAGCGGUGAAAUGCGUAGAUAUAUGGAAGAACACCAGUGGCGAAAGCGGCUCUCUGGUCUGUAACUGACGCUGAGGUUCGAAAGCGUGGGUAGCAAACAGGAUUAGAUACCCUGGUAGUCCACGCCGUAAACGAUGAGUGCUAAGUGUUGGAGGGUUUCCGCCCUUCAGUGCUGCAGCUAACGCAUUAAGCACUCCGCCUGGGGAGUACGGUCGCAAGACUGAAACUCAAAGGAAUUGACGGGGGCCCGCGCAAGCGGUGGAGCAUGUGGUUUAAUUCGAAGCAACGCGAAGAACCUUACCAGGUCUUGACAUCUUCUGACAAUUCCAGAGAUGGAACGUUCCCUUCGGGGACAGAAUGACAGGUGGUGCAUGGUUGUCGUCAGCUCGUGUCGUGAGAUGUUGGGUUAAGUCCCGCAACGAGCGCAACCCUUAUUGUCAGUUGCCAUCAUUAAGUUGGGCACUCUGGCGAGACUGCCGGUGACAAACCGGAGGAAGGUGGGGAUGACGUCAAAUCAUCAUGCCCCUUAUGACCUGGGCUACACACGUGCUACAAUGGACGGUACAACGAGUCGCUAACUCGCGAGGGCAAGCUAAUCUCUUAAAGCCGUUCUCAGUUCGGAUUGCAGGCUGCAACUCGCCUGCAUGAAGUCGGAAUCGCUAGUAAUCGCGAAUCAGCAUGUCGCGGUGAAUACGUUCCCGGGCCUUGUACACACCGCCCGUCACACCAUGAGAGUUUGUAACACCCAAAGUCGGUGGGGUAACCUUUUGGAGCCAGCCGCCUAAGGUGGGACAGAUGAUUGGGGUG